GGAUCUUUCCAUAUAAAAGUAACAAUAGUUUUGUGCAGAUUGGGUGCUCUUUGUAGAAAGCAAUGCUCUUUUAGCCAGUAUCUUAUUGCAUACAAUCUAGGACUUAUUUCCCAAAUGGGGGUGCCUUCUCCCUCUUUGUUCAACACAACCUUUGCAUUAACCCCCAACCACAACAACACAAAAUAAUGCACCAAUUCAAGUGG
rnacentral:misc_RNA from 1 species